GACCAGAAAGAAAUCAAGAAUGGGAAGGCAAAUGUCAGCUGCUGCCGCAGAAAAUCUUGAUCCCUCACUCCAUUUAAAUCUGAGCCAGUUCUGAGACCCCCCAAAGCCCAUUGAUUGAAAGGGAGGGUUCCCUUGAGGACAGAUUCUAGAGUGCUACCAUAAGUAUACACAAGAAAUAUUUCCCCACUCCUCCCCUAAAGGUGCCUAGAGGCACUUAAAUAACUAAUUUGUUAUGGAAAAGGGAUUAUCCAGAACUCCGAAGAUUAGACACAGGACUUGAGCUGACGCCAGGGCACCUGAAGCAUCCUGGUCUUCUGAUUAGAGUAGGGGCUUAUGAAAAUCUCAUGAAAAAUGGAAUUCUGCCCCAACUCCUUGUGGUAGUUUCCCUGGUCCUAAUGUGUGCUUGGAUGGUUAUACCUAACAGUAAGCAGAGCUCAUACAUUGAUCCCUGACUUGUGGAGUAAGAACCAUGUGGCAGGAGGAGCAAAGUAGAAACUCCCCACCCUAGUGGUCCCCCCAGGGUAGUAAAUCAGAAGCAACACUGCCUUCCAGGUGAAUUUGUAUGAAUUGUGUCACUUUCCCAUUUCACUCCUUCAUUUCACUCUUUCAUUUCACCUAGAUAGUCCCUGAAAAUCCAAAUAUAUUCAUGUAAAUGAAGGUGGACUAUCAUAGACUUAGCCAAGUAGUGUUCCCAAUCUCAGCAGCCAUGCCUGGUGUGAUGUCUUUAUUGGAACCAAUUAAUGCACCUCUGUCAUUGAUAAUGAAGUGACUGAUAUACUGAACGUUAUUUUCAAUUCCCAAUAGUAAAGAGGAUCUAAAGCAGAUAACAUUUAUAUGGGAAGGACAGCCAUAUGCAUUAUGUGGCUCCAAGGCUGUUUUAACUCUCCUGUUUUCUGUUACAACAUAGUCUGUAAGGACCUUAUCAUCUGGACACUCCACAAGUCAUAAAUGACGUCAUACUAGUUUGACAUGGUGAAGAAGGAAGUGACAC
rnacentral:lncRNA from 1 species